rnacentral:rRNA from 1 species
UGGGGAAUAUUGCACAAUGGAGGGAACUCUGAUGCAGCGACGCCGCGUGAGUGAUGAAGGAAUUCGUUUCGUAAAACUCUGUUCUAUGGGAAGAAAAGGACUGUACCAUAGGAGAAAGCUCCGGCUAAAUACGUGCCAGCAGCCGCGGUAAUACGUAUGGAGCGAGCGUUGUCCGGAAUUAUUGGGCGUAAAGGGUGCGCAGGCGGCUUUACAAGUUGGAUGUGAAAUAUUGUGGCUCAACCACAAACGUGCAUCCAAAACUGCAAAGCUUGAGGUAAGGAGAGGGAAGUGGAAUUCCUGGUGUAGCGGUGGAAUGCGUAAAUAUCAGGAGGAAUACCGGUGGCGAAAGCGACUUACUGGACUUAAACUGACGCUCAGGCACGAAAGCGUGGGGAGCAAACAGG